GUCUACAGCCAUGCCACCCUGAACAAGCCCAAUCUCGUUUGAUCUCAGAAGAUAAUCAAAGUCGGGCCAGGUUAGUACUUGGAUGGGAGACCAUCUAGGAAGACCAGGUGCUGUAGGCA
rnacentral:rRNA from 1 species